AUUUAUAUAGUUUAAAAAUUAAAACAUUACAUUUUCAUUGUAAUAAUAAAGAAAUUUCUUUUAUAAAUA
rnacentral:tRNA from 1 species